rnacentral:rRNA from 1 species
GAUGAACGCUGGCGGCGUGCCUAAUACAUGCAAGUCGAGCGAACAGACGAGGAGCUUGCUCCUCUGACGUUAGCGGCGGACGGGUGAGUAACACGUGGAUAACCUACCUAUAAGACUGGGAUAACUUCGGGAAACCGGAGCUAAUACCGGAUAAUAUAUUGAACCGCAUGGUUCAAUAGUGAAAGACGGUUUUGCUGUCACUUAUAGAUGGAUCCGCGCCGCAUUAGCUAGUUGGUAAGGUAACGGCUUACCAAGGCAACGAUGGGUAGCCGACCUGAGAGGUGGGACGGCCACACGCGAACGGAGAACCGGGCCAGCCUCAUCCGGGAGGGAGAAGAAGGGAUUCUCCCUCAAAGGGCGAAGGCCUGACGAACUACCACCGACGGAAUGAGAAAGUUCUCCGGAUCGUAAAACCCUGUUAUUAGGAAGCAAAAAAUUUGUAAUUAACUAUGCCCGUCUGGCAGGUACCUAAACAGACGGCAACGGCUAACUACGUG